rnacentral:rRNA from 1 species
ACCUAUACGUUGCCUCGGCGGAUCAGCCCGCGCCCCGUAAAACGGGACGGCCCGCCCGAGGACCCCUAAACUCUGUUUUUAGUGGAACUUCUGAGUAAAACAAACAAAUAAAUCAAAACUUUCAACAACGGAUCUCUUGGUUCUGGCAUCGAUGAAGAACGCAGCAAAAUGCGAUAAGUAAUGUGAAUUGCAGAAUUCAGUGAAUCAUCGAAUCUUUGAACGCACAUUGCGCCCGCCAGUAUUCUGGCGGGCAUGCCUGUUCGAGCGUCAUUUCAACCCUCAAGCUCAGCUUGGUGUUGGGACUCGCGGUAACCCGCGUUCCCCAAAUCGAUUGGCGGUCACGUCGAGCUUCCAUAGCGUAGUAAUCAUACACCUCGUUACUGGUAAUCGUCGCGGCCACGCCGUAAAACCCCAACUUCUGAAUGUUGACCUCGGAUCAGGUAGGAAUACCCGCUGAACUUAAGCAUAUCAAUAAGCGGAGGAC